rnacentral:ncRNA from 1 species
GAGACCUCGUCUCGUGUGCAUCAGAAAUGCACGCACUCGCGAAGUCCGCGAGCAGCACUCCAGCUGGAUGAGGAGAAAGG